rnacentral:rRNA from 1 species
GAUGAACGCUGGCGGCGUGCCUAAUACAUGCAAGUCGAGCGAACAGACGAGGAGCUUGCUCCUCUGACGUUAGCGGCGGACGGGUGAGUAACACGUGGAUAACCUACCUCUAAGACUGGGAUGACUUCGGGAAACCGGAUCUAAUACCGGAUAAUAUAUUGAACCGCAUGGUUCAAUAGUGAAAGACGGUUUUGCUGUCACUUUUAGAUGGAUCCGCGCCGCAUUAGCUAGUUGGUAAGGUAACGGCUUACCAAGGCUACGAUGCGUAGCCGACCUGAGAGGGUGAUCGGCCACACUGGAACUGAGACACGGUCCAGACUCCUACGGGAGGCAGCAGUAGGGAAUCUUCCGCAAUGGGCGAAAGCCUGACGGAGCAACGCCGCGUGAGUGAUGAAGGUCUUCGGAUCGUAAAACUCUGUUAUUAGGGAAGAACAAAUGUGUAAGUAACUAUGCACGUCUUGACGGUACCUAAUCAGAAAGCCACGGCUAACUACGUG